AGCAGAAACGAUGUCUCAGUAAAUAUUUCAACAACCUGUCUAAUUAAACUGAAUUCAGAAGAAUCACAGUCUUCUUUUAGUAUUCUGAUGACCUCAAUUCGAUUGGCAUUUGUCUGCAUAUGUGCUGCUGUUGCCAUUAAACUUUUUGCAGUGGGAUAUAAUCGUCAUAAGGCAAAAACUGCUACAGCUCCGUUAACGCAAAGCAGUCAAAUGGAGAUGCAAUCGCUGCCUGACGCCAGAGUCUCCAUGUGUUCGUCCAGUGAAACGGAGCAUUCAUACCAGAAUGUGGAGGCCAGUUAGCCAAGAAAGAACGGCAUCCCGAGAGAUAAAUGUGCCUGCUGUGAUACUGACAGAAUGAGAGUAGCAAAAGCACACAGUGUGACUGCAGAGACUGAACCCCGAUAGCAACAUACACUAGAAAAAACUGAGUUUACAAUAAAUCAUGAACCAUGGA